UACGUAGGGGCCGAGCGUUGUCCGGAGUUAUUGGGCGUAAAGCGCGCGCAGGCGGCUUGACGCGCCCGACGUGAAAGCCCCCGGCUUAACCGGGGAGGGUCGUCGGGUACGGUCAGGCUUGAGGGCGGGAGAGGGUGGUGGAAUUCCCGGUGUAGUGGUGAAAUGCGUAGAGAUCGGGAGGAACACCUGUGGCGAAGGCGGGUUGCUGGGCUGACACUGACGCUGAUGCGCGAAAGCCAGGGGAGCGAACGGG
rnacentral:rRNA from 1 species